UUGAGCUUGUGGUAAGGCACACAACUUGA
rnacentral:piRNA from 2 species